rnacentral:rRNA from 1 species
GACGAACGCUGGCGGCGUGCUUAACACAUGCAAGUCGAACGGAAAGACCUGUCCUUCCUUGUGUUGGACGGGUACUCGAGUGGCGAACGGGUGAGUAACACGUGAGUGAUCUGCCCCCAACUUGGGUAUAAGCCUGGGAAACUGGGUCUAAUUCCCGAUAGGACUGCAGGGUGGUGCCUGUGGUGGAAAACGAUUUUCUAGUGGUUGGGGAUGAGCUCGCGGCCUAUCAGCUUGUUGGUGGGGUAAUGGCCUACCAAGGCGGCGACGGGUAGCCGGCCUGGGAGGGUGGACGGCCACAUUGGGACUGAGAUACGGCCCAGACUCCUACGGGAGGCAGCAGUGGGGAAUAUUGCACAAUGGGCGGAAGCCUGAUGCAGCGACGCCGCGUGGGGGAUGACGGCCUUCGGGUUGUAAACUCCUUUCGACCGCGAGGAAGCCGCCUGGUUGGAAGGGUGGUGACGGUAGUGGUAGAAGAAGCACCGGCUAACUACGUG